CGUUCCAGCACUGUUGUCAGCAUCUCCUUUUCAGUCAAGAAGUCAAUUACAGUCACACACAACGUUUUCAGAAGCGUGCAGAGCUAGGCAAUGCACACGGACGAGUCAAUCAGCAAAAGGACGUGCCGGGCGCUUCAAAGUAUACGUGCUGUUACGAAGCGUGACAUCCUAUACUCCCGUUUCUGUUUGUCGCAAUGUUACUCGUAUUACUGACAUCAUCGAGUAACAGUGUGAGCUCCAGUCGGGGUACAAACACUACGGCGCUUCGCAGCGGCCAUUUUGAACUGCAAGGCGGAAGUGGCUGCUGACGAUGCCAGUCCUUUAUCGGAUGCGGAAAGUCGUCGUCUGCUUCCGGAACGCACGCCCCCAGAUUACGAAACUGGAAUUGCUAUCCACCAAGUUGGCCGCGCGUCCCCACCAAUCCUUUCUGAGCUAUGCGCCACUUUUUCGUUUUUUUGUUUGUUUUUGUUUGAAGAAGAAACUCUGCAGCACGUGAAACAGCUGGACGAAGAAGAACGAGGGAUUCUUCGGUGGUCCCGGCCACUGAGACGGAACGAAAAACUUGGGGCUGGAAAAUGUUAUGUACAGAGGUACACCCUUCAACGCUGAGCAUCUGGGCCACUGUUUCCUCCUGCCUGAUCUUCGUGUCCUUUUGGGCACCGUACCAAGUAAGAAAGUACUUAUCCGCAAAACGGGCACAAGGAUCCUUCUUGGCGGAUGACUGUGUGGACCGAAUAAUCAACAUCGCUGUUGGAGCAGCGUUGGCUCACUGUGUGACUCACGUGAUACCCUUUACGCAAAACGUGAGCGACGGCCUGAGACACUACCUGAACGUGGACAAGAUGAUUCUGGCAACGGGGAUCUUCUGUACUGUCGUCGUCGACAUUUUGCUACUCCUCUCUUUUCCGUCGCACACCGUUCCCUACCUGAACUGGCGUCGAGGAAAGACAGAACCCAAGGACGAGGUGCAACGUAUUCUGCUGAGGCGCACCGUCGACAGGGACGCCACCCUGCGGGUUUCUCACCUUUCGUACGUCCAGGUGGUGGUCUUGGCGAGCGUCGUCGUAUUCCUCGAGAACUUUUUCGCCCAUAAUUAUUUAACGAAGAGUAAACGACCCUGCGGCUUCGCCUUGGUGCAUCAGAUGGUGUUGGCAACUACUUUAGGCAUUCUUCCAUUGAGAACUCCCUCUUUAAAAUUCAAUAGGAAACUUUCUUCGUUACUGCCUUUAAGUAUGUUUCUGGGCACGGUCGUUGGUGUUUUGCUGAGUUGCCAGGAUGAAGCUCUGUUUAAUCUUUUUGCCGUUGCAGCCUGGCUGUCGUGUGGAGCGUUUCUUUGUGUUCUGUGGGGUCACUUCUUGUUGCCGAUGCUCUCCACUAGUUGUGGUGUGUAUGAAGCGUGCUGCGGAUUAGGGCUGUACGUGGGCUUCAUGUUGCAGGUUCACGUUGCAUGCGCGAUUGUAAAUGGGGACGGUUAGAUGGCGCAUUAGCUGUUGUACUAUACAUAUGCUAUAACGCAGUAUCCAACGUUACCGAUUACAUUUUUAUCCCUUCGCUGUCCGGAGCCGA